rnacentral:rRNA from 1 species
UUCGGGGAACGUUAACGGCGUCGAGCGGCGGACGGGUGAGUAAUGCCUAGGAAAUUGCCCUGAUGUGGGGGAUAACCAUUGGAAACGAUGGCUAAUACCGCAUGAUGCCUACGGGCCAAAGAGGGGGACCUUCGGGCCUCUCGCGUCAGGAUAUGCCUAGGUGGGAUUAGCUAGUUGGUGAGGUAAGGGCUCACCAAGGCGACGAUCCCUAGCUGGUCUGAGAGGAUGAUCAGCCACACUGGAACUGAGACACGGUCCAGACUCCUACGGGAGGCAGCAGUGGGGAAUAUUGCACAAUGGGCGCAAGCCUGAUGCAGCCAUGCCGCGUGUGUGAAGAAGGCCUUCGGGUUGUAAAGCACUUUCAGUCGUGAGGAAGGUUUAGGCGUUAAUAGCUGAUUUAUUUGACGUUAGCGACAGAAGAAGCACCGGCUAACUCCGUGCC